GCUAGAAGAGCAUGACAUAUACUGUUGUGUCGAUAUUUUCUCCUCGGACCUUGAAAAUUUAUGGUGGGGAUACGCAAACUUCUCAACAGGCCGUACCAAUAUCCGCAGCUGGUCUCCAAGGUGAAGAGUCUCUAGUCGAUAGAAUAAUGUAGGUAAGGGAAGUCGGCAAAUUAGAUCCGUAACUUCGGGAUAAGGAUUGGCUCUGAAGAUUGAGAUAGUCGGGCUUGAUUGGGAAACAAUAACAUGGUUUAUGUGCUCGUUCUGGGUAAAUAGAGUUUCUAUCAUUUAUGAUAGUUAUUUGUUCCCCGGAUAGUUAGUUACGUAGCCAAUUGUGGAACUUUCUUGCUAAAAUUUUUAAGAAUACUAAUUUUUAAUUAGUUCUUUUAAAUUAUAACGAUUAUCAAUUAACAAUCAAUUCAGAACUGGCACGGACUUGGGGAAUCCGACUGUCUAAUUAAAACAAAGCAUUGUGAUGGCCCUAGCGGGUGUUGACAAAAUGUGAUUUCUGCCCAGUGCUCUGAAUGUCAAAGUGAAGAAAUUCAAGUAAGCGCGGGUCAACGGCGGGAGUAACUAUGACUCUCUUGGCGAGAAAGGAGGUGGAGCUCGAAGCAAGUGGUAAUUUGAGAUUUCCUAAUAAGAAGCUAGCGGAAGUAUUUACUCACCGUAGCUCCGAAGCAAUUAAAUGUUUUCGGAAGAGGGGUGAAUAUAAGGCAAAACUGGAGCAGAUAAGAGGGCAAUCUACUCCCACCCCAGAAGCGUUGGACUCAAUUACCUCACAGCGUCGCCCUAGUUUACUCGAGCGAAACCACCAAGUAUCAUCGUCGGAAGCGCAACCAAUCAAUCCAUCAGAAGAACAGUCGAACUGGGAAAUCAUGCGGAUACUACAGGGCUAUCGCCCCGUAGAAUGUAGUCCCCGGUGGAGAGCCCAGGUCUUGCAAACUAUCGUAGAUAGGGCGCAGGCCGUAGGGAAGGAAACCACUCUCCAAUGCUUAUCCAACUAUCUCCUGGAAGUAUUUCCAUUACCAAACGAACCACACACCAUCGGUCGGAGCAAUUUGCGAAGACCUCGAACUAGGAGACAGUUAAGACAACAAGAGUACGCACAGGUUCAGCGUCGUUGGGAUAAGAAUACUGGGAGAUGCAUUAAAUCCUUGCUUGAUGGAACAGAUGAGUCGGUUAUGCCAAACCAAGAGAUAAUGGAACCCUAUUGGAAACAAGUAAUGACGAAUCCCAGCACAUGCUCUUGCGAAAACACAAGAUUCCGUAUGGAACAUUCGCUUGAGACGGUUUGGUCAGCGAUAACGCCACGCGACCUGAGGGAAAAUAAGUUAAAGUUGUCAAGUGCUCCGGGUCCUGACGGUAUCACU
rnacentral:ncRNA from 1 species